rnacentral:rRNA from 1 species
GACGAACGCUGGCGGCGUGCUUAACACAUGCAAGUCGAACGGAAAGGCCCUGCUUUUGUGGGGUGCUCGAGUGGCGAACGGGUGAGUAGCACGUGAGUAACCUGCCCUUGACUUUGGGAUAACUUCAGGAAACUGGGGCUAAUACCGGAUAGGAGCUCCUGCUGCAUGGUGGGGGUUGGAAAGUUUCGGCGGUUGGGGAUGGACUCGCGGCUUAUCAGCUUGUUGGUGGGGUAGUGGCUUACCAAGGCUUUGACGGGUAGCCGGCCUGAGAGGGUGACCGGCCACAUUGGGACUGAGAUACGGCCCAGACUCCUACAGGAGGCAGCAGUGGGGAAUAUUGCACAAUGGGCGGAAGCCUGAUGCAGCAACGCCGCGUGCGGGAUGACGGCCUUCGGGUUGUAAACCGCUUUCGCCUGUGACGAAGCGUGAGUGACGGUAAUGGGUAAAGAAGCACCGGCUAACUACGUG